UACGUAGGAGGCGAGCGUUGUCCGGAAUCAUUGGGCGUAAAGAGCGUGUAGGCGGCCAGAUAAGUCCGCUGUGAAAUCUCGAGGCUCAACUUCGAGCUGUCGGUGGAAACUGUCUGGCUAGAGUCCGGAAGAGGAGAAUGGAAUUCCUGGUGUAGCGGUGAAAUGCGCAGAUAUCAGGAAGAACACCCGUGGCGAAGGCAGUUCUCUGGGCCGUAACUGACGCUGAGGAGCGAAAGCGUGGGGAGCGAACAGG
rnacentral:rRNA from 1 species